rnacentral:tRNA from 1 species
GGGCCGCUAGCUCAGUUGGUAGAGCAGCUGACUCUUAAUCAGCGGGCCCGGGGUUCGAGUCCCCGGCGGCCCACCA